AAUAUUGCACAAUGGAGGAAACUCUGAUGCAGCGACGCCGCGUGAACGAUGAAGGCCUUCGGGUCGUAAAGUUCUGUCCUUGGGGCCGAUAAUGACGGUACCCAAUGAGGACGCCCCGGCUAACUACGUGCCAGCAGCCGCGGUAAUACGUAGGGGGCGAGCGUUGUCCGGAAUUAUUGGGCGUAAAGGGUUCGGAGGCGGUCCUUUAAGUCAGAUGUGAAAGCCCACGGCUAAACCGUGGUAAGCAUUUGAAACUGAAGGAAUUGAGUAAAGGAGAGGAAGGUGGAAUUCCACGUGUAGCGGUGAAAUGCGUAGAGAUGUGGAGGAACACCAGUGGCGAAGGCGGCCUUCUGGCCUUUGUCUGACGCUGAGGCACGAAAGCGUGGGUAGCAAACAG
rnacentral:rRNA from 1 species